GACGAACGCUGGCGGCGUGCUUAACACAUGCAAGUCGAACGCUGGAGCUCAGCUUGCUGGGUGGAUGAGUGGCGAACGGGUGAGUAACACGUGAGUAACCUGCCCUCUUCUUUGGGAUAACGCCCGGAAACGGGUGCUAAUACUGGAUAUUCACUGAUUCUCGCAUGGGGGUUGGUGGAAAGGUUUUUUCUGGUGGGGGAUGGGCUCGCGGCCUAUCAGCUUGUUGGUGGGGUGAUGGCCUACCAAGGCUUUGACGGGUAGCCGGCCUGAGAGGGUGACCGGUCACAUUGGGACGGAGAUACGGCCCAGACUCCUACGGGAGGCAGCAGUGGGGAAUAUUGCACAAUGGGCGAAAGCCUGAGGCAGCGACGCCGCGUGAGGGAUGGAGGCCUUCGGGUUGUAAACCUCUUUCGCUCAUGGUCAAGCCGCAGCUUUGGGUUGUGGUGAGGGUAGUGGGUAAAGAAGCGCCGGCUAACUACGUG
rnacentral:rRNA from 1 species